rnacentral:lncRNA from 1 species
CACUUUUUCAUCACCUUCAACUUCAACUUCAUCAUCACCAUUACCAUCACCAUCAACAUCAAAAUCUCCGCUUACCUUAUCAAUCUCACUCUCUUUCACAUUCUCAUUCUAGCCAUAAUCCUCAUCAUCAUCCCAACCAUCAUUAUCAUCACUCCCUUGUGCUUCACCUGUUUCCGAGGCACAACCACCUUCACCACUCAAUUCCUCUCCACUACCAGCUACAAAGUCCGAAUCUUUCUUCUCAUUUUCAGCUACCCUUUCAU